rnacentral:rRNA from 1 species
UACGGGGGGAGCAAGCGUUGUUCGGAAUUACUGGGCGUAAAGGGCGCGUAGGCGGCCUGCUAAGUCGAACGUGAAAUCCCCGGGCUCAACCCGGGAACUGCGUCCGAUACUGGUGGGCUUGAAUCCGGGAGAGGGAUGUGGAAUUCCAGGUGUAGCGGUGAAAUGCGUAGAUAUCUGGAGGAACACCGGUGGCGAAGGCGGCAUCCUGGACCGGUAUUGACGCUGAGGCGCGAAAGCCAGGGGAGCAAACGGG